AUUGAACGCUGGCGGCAUGCCUUACACAUGCAAGUCGAACGGCAGCACGGGUGCUUGCACCUGGUGGCGAGUGGCGAACGGGUGAGUAAUAUAUCGGAACGUACCUUAUUGUGGGGGAUAACGCAGCGAAAGCUGUGCUAAUACCGCAUAAUCCCUAAGGGGAAAAGCGGGGGACCGUAAGGCCUCGCGCAAUUAGAGCGGCCGAUACCUGAUUAGCUAGUUGGUGAGGUAAAGGCUCACCAAGGCAACGAUCAGUAGCUGGGCUGAGAGGACGAUCAGCCACACUGGGACUGAGACACGGCCCAGACUCCUACGGAAGGCAGCAGUGGGGAAUUUUGGACAAUGGGGGCAACCCUGAUCCAGCAAUGCCGCGUGAGUGAAGAAGGCCUUCGGGUUGUAAAGCUCUUUUGUCAGGGAAGAAACAGCAGCUCUAACACAGUUUGCGAAUGACGGUACCUGAAGAAUAAGCACCGGCUAACUACGUGCCAGCAGCCGCCGUAA
rnacentral:rRNA from 1 species